UACGUAGGUGGCAAGCGUUGUCCGGAUUUAUUGGGCGUAAAGGGAGCGCAGGCGGUGACUUAAGUCUGAUGUGAAAGCCCACGGCUCAACCGUGGAAGGUCAUUGGAAACUGGGUCACUUGAAUAUAGAAGAGGAAAGUGGAAUUCCAUGUGUAGCGGUGAAAUGCGUAGAUAUAUGGAGGAACACGAGUGGCGAAGGCGACUUUCUGGUCUAUUAUUGACGCUGAGGCUCGAAAGCAUGGGUAGCAAACAGGAUUAGAUA
rnacentral:rRNA from 1 species